UCUAUCACACCAUCGAUCGUCAUGGGGAAAAUCAUAGGACUAUUGUUAAUUGUUAUUAUCGGCUCGGCCGCGGCUGCGCCGUGGCGUUGCACCAAGACCUGCGAGGGGGCGACGGUCUGUUUCGCAGAACCUGUUAGACCCAUCAUUCAGCCACCCAGCAUAAGCAUCCCACAGCCUAUACCUCCGUGCACAGGCCCGAUAACGAUCAUAACGCCGUCCUGUCCGUGUCCCCCACCGUGCGCGCCCCCCUGCAACCCGUGCCCCCCUCCGAACCCGUGCGACCCGUGCGCCCCGUGCAACCCGUGCCCGCCGCCGCCAUGCAACCCUUGCAUCUGCUCUUAUUAAAUAGGGGUAUAUCAUCGGAAUAUAGGGGUCUUUGAUCGGAAUCGAAAUUUUACAUGAUAAAAUUGUUUUUUUUAUUUUAAAUUUUAGAAUAAUUUUGUAAAUUGGGUAUGAGGGUUAACGAGGACGAUGGUGUGAAUAUGGGGAAGUUUUGGAUGAAAAUUGGCAUCGAAAUUUUUUAAGUCAAUAAAUUUUUUGGAUAUUCA